UGCUAUAUAACCCAACGGUCGGCCACCCAAAUUCAGACAAGUACACAACAUGAAGUUCUACGCGUUUGCUCUUCUCUUAGCCUUCCUCGUCAUCUACGAGGUAUCCGGCCAGAGUACCGAGAGUAGUGACAGCGAUGGGGAUAACGCCGGUAAAGCAAAGGGAGAAAUGAAGAGAGGUGCUAAAGCGAAAGGCGGAAACGGUUGCGGGAAAGGGAGGGACGGAGCCCCAACCACAGGAAGUCCAGAGGCCAGUACUACCGAAUAAGUUUGUGUGUAACUGACCGUAUCUUAAUAAAUGAUCUACAGAGCAUGUAA